rnacentral:rRNA from 1 species
ACUCCUACGGGAGGCAGCAGGGGAAUCUUGCACAAUGGGCGCAAGCCUGAUGCAGCCAUGCCGCGUGUAUGAAGAAGGCCUUCGGGUUGUAAAGUACUUUCAGCGGGGAGGAAGGCGACGGGGUUAAUAACCCUGUCGAUUGACGUUACCCGCAGAAGAAGCACCGGCUAACUCCGUGCCAGCAGCCGCGGUAAU